AGAGAGGGAUUCUAUCUCGAGCAACUUUUCUCCCCAUCACUAUUCUCCUCGAGAUGACGAAAUGGAGAGAGCUUCAAGAGAUGCAAUGCCGAAUUGAUGCACUACAGAACUAGGCCCCACUGUAACAAGGUAUGGAGAUCAAUUUUAAUACUAAAUUCCCAUUUGCUCGAUAGAUUAUGGACGAGUUGCUUCCAGCACCAUUUAAAAUGCUAACAUUUGGAGCCGUACAAUAGGACCACCAAUCCCAUC
rnacentral:lncRNA from 1 species